rnacentral:misc_RNA from 1 species
GUUGAAUCAUCUGUGACUUUAUAAAGAAAAAAAAAUCCGGACCAUAGACUCUGCAUGUCUUAUAAAAAAAUGGCGAUUGUUAAAUUUUUGUUGAGAGUUUGAAAGCACAAUCCUCAAGCACAUAUUUAAAGUUUAAAUAUCUGUUGGUGAAACUGUGACCAUAUAUCCUAAAAAUGGCUGACGCUUUGGUAGAGCGGAGACCUACCGCUCGGUUUUUCUGCCACAGGUGUAACAUUGAAUUCGAAGAUGUUUUGCAGGAUUACACAUGCCCAUACUGCGCAAGUGGUUUCAUCGAACAGCUUGAGAAUGAGACAGAGGGCCUGGCAUUGUCAGGAGACGACUUCAGCGAUGCAGACAUGAGCAAUAUUGAUGAUAUGAGCAAUAUCGAUGACAUGAGCAACCUGGACGACUCAGACGACAUUCACCAUUUGUCACAAGGCACCCCUCCAAUGUUGAACGAUCUAGCAUUCCUAAUGUCAGGCGGCCGGUUACGCGGCGCGGGCCGGCGCGAGACGCUGAUGGAGCAGCUGGUGUGGAUGAUCGGCGGCGCGCGGGCGGGCGCGGGCGCGGUGACGGCCGGCGCGCCCUUCGUGCUGGUGGGCGCGCCCGGCGACUACGUGUUUGGCGGUGAAGGUCUCGACGCAGUAGUAACACAAUUGCUAGGACAGCUAGAAAAUGCAGGGCCUCCGCCCCUACCCCGGGAACAGAUAGCAGCCCUGCCUUCAGUCGUCGUCACUGAAGAACAAGUCGCCGCCAACACAUCGUGUUCUGUCUGCUGGGAGAACUUUCAGUCUGGCGAGUCAGUAUCUCGGUUAGAGUGCGACCACAUCUUCCACGCGAACUGCAUCACACCGUGGCUGCAGCUGCACGCCACGUGUCCCAUCUGCCGGCGCUCGCUGCUGCCCGAGGAGGCGGCGGACGCGGCCGAGCCCGCGCCCGCGCCGCCGCCCACUGCGGCCACCGACACCAGCGCCAGCACCACCACCACCGGCGCCACCACGCCCUCCACGCAGGCCCCGCCCACCGACACCUCCGCCAGCCAGUACCGUGAGUCCUUAUCGUCGCUGACGCAGCUGCUGGUGCGGCGGCUGCCGCGGCGCGGGCUGGCGGGCUGGGCGGGGCUGGCGGAGUCCAGCAGCUCGUCGGGCAGCAUGUCCACGGCGUCGUCGGUGACGGCGGGCGGGGUGUGGGCGCCGCCCUCCAACACCAACUCGUCGACGUCGAACUCGUCGUCGUCGCUGAACUCGGCGGAGCGCGAGCGGCAGUACAACAUGGACAUCGACUUCGACUAGCUCCGCGCCGCUCUGCGCGCCUGGUACUGUGAUGUGAUCGUGAUACGACAUUGUUCGAUAAUAAUACAUCAGCAUAUAAAGGAUCAGUCGGAGUUGUGUGCCUUUGAUUUGUAUUGCAGUGUAGUGUAACAUUUCCAUACGAGAAGACACAGUGGAUGUUUUUCGAAUGUCACAUGCUAUCAUAAAACAGUCGUAUGACAGAGACAAUGGGCGGUGUACAUUUAAAAAUACAUAUUAUGUAACUAAAAGUAAAUUAUUUUGCUACUGUGAAGUUAAUGGAUAAGUUAUUAUUUACAAAAUGUUUAGUUUUCAUCUGUGUACAAAAUUACCUGAGUGAAUAAUGAUGUUGCAUGUUUGUUAAACGCAAUUUUCUUAUUGCAUUGAUUUUAUUCUUUUGUAAAUUUUGUAAAUAAGCAUGUAAGUUUAAGAACUUUGCUAUAAGCUGUAGUAUAUUUAAUACUCAGAUAAAUAGCUGAAUAUAUAUUUCGCCAAAUGAUGUGAUUUUAAAUUGGGUUAAUCGAUAUAAGGGGAUCCUUUUACUACAUGUUUCUAUAAUCAUCUAGUUAUCCAAAUACUUUAGACCUUAAAGGGAUAUUCCAUCUAUGUUGACAAUGCAAGAAUCUUUGAAUUGAUUAAGCACAUAUUUUUUUUGUAUAUAGUGAAUGAGUUCUAAAGAAUAAUACUUUUAUUUUCUGCUUUUGGAAGAAGUGUUUUUUUUUUAUAGUGCUGACCUUUUUAUAUGAGCCGCUUUUAACUGGGGAGCAUGCUCGCUACUGAGGACUUAGUGAGUGUGGCAGACGUUAGACGUAGUGUGUGUAGCGUAGCCUACAGUACGCGUGUGUGUGGCGGCCCUAGGCCCGCGUCACACCUAGCGGUUGUGAGAGAAUGAGUACAUUAAAUUAUUUUAUUAUUAAAACUUUAUUUCGACUGAGUGCUGUAUGUAUUCUGUUCUGUUUGCGGUUUGCUCAAGUGUACAAUGAUAAACAAUGGGAUUGAAAAUGUCAUUAAACUACUAACACAUAAGAUUACGUCCAGUCUGUAAGUAGUGGAGUAGUUACGAGUUGUAGAUGAACACUACUUGUGCUAAGAUAAGACGACUCUACGGAGUGGAAAUGUGUGACCUAUUGAACAUUGAGAUGUCGUGUCGAUCUUAUUUUUGUAAUACGCACUAGGCAGGGACAAUCCUGGUAGAGAUAUCGGGGAGUUUUAUUAAUUCUACAAUGAUACCAGAGUGAGAAGUUUUUAUGAAGAUAUAUUUCAAUAGGAAUGGCAUAGUUGAUAUACUAGUGUUACUUAAUCGAGUUUGUUGAGUAUAUUUGUAAAUAGGCGGGCGCGGGCUCGUGUGCAGCGGGCUCGGGGCCGACGGGCGCGGUGACGUCACACGAGCCCCGCCCGCCUGCUGAUGUAAGGCAAACCGAGCAGCUCACAGCGAGACACCAACACUUCUCAAAGCUAACAAUACUCGAUGUUCCUAUCCAACUUAGGUUACUUACUAGUGUCGAUUGGACAGAUGUGUCACCGGGCCGAGCCGACUGCAUUACUGACCCUCACAUACAAAUCGGAGACGCGAUGAAUUUCCCAUAAUAUUAGAAUGUAUAAAAUUAUAUCUUGCCUAAUUACUGUAACACUGUGUAAGGUAGAAAUCAUUAUCAUACUUAGGCUCUUGGUGAUCCAUGUGUCUCAAAAUAUGCAUUUCAAAUUUUAGAUCCGGAACUAUCUGGGUCUUAAGACUGAUCUCUUAAGUGUUAAUGCUUAAGGUAUAUAAAAUUUGAAAUUGUAUUUUUGUAUAAUCUUCACUUAGUCGUAGAAUAGGCCUAAAAUUCGGAGCGUUAGGUUUGACACUGAAUCUGUGUCCUAAGAACUCGAGGUUAUAGUUGACAGGGGCAGUCGCAUCGCUUAUGAAGUAUUUCCACCUGGUUCAUAUUUAUUGGUAGGUAGGUCGGAACACACCAGUUGUAAGCAAAUUACGGUUGAAAACAAUUAAUUUGAUAUGGAACUUUGUGGUGUGGGCGAGCGUUAUCUAGGUCGAUGUCAGCAGGUGUUUGUAGUGAAAACACAUUAGGAUUUCCGAUCGUCGAUACCGAUAGCUGCAUUUCUGUACUUCGGACUAUCGAUUCGAAUAAAUAUGUAAUGCAAACCUUUCGAACAUAAUCAAGGGUCGUAUGAUUAAAAGCAUAAAUUGUUGCGUACCUUAGCUGUCUUAAAUAAGUAAAUAGAUUUUUUGUUAAAUUAGUAAUCUUAUUUUGGGUUUACAUAAAACUUAACCAGGCUUUCAAUUUGUUAUGUCACUAUUAUUAAGUUAUUUAUCAUUGUACACAAUAUGAAUGCGAGAAUACAUAUUUUCAUAUUUGAAAAAUAUGGAUAUAAGUAUCUUGAAAUAUACCUAAUAUUGUAAAUACAAUAAUUGUCAUUAAAAUUCAAUAAAAAACAGUAUUCCACAGUUACUUGUCUUUUAUUAAAUAUUAUUUGUUGACUUAGAAAACUCCGAUGCUUUGUGGAAUUUAUCGCACGAGCAUUUUGUUAUGAGCACAGAAAUGUAAAAAAAUCGUGUAGUAAAGUUUUUAUUUCCUCGUUACGACUUAAAUGCAUGAAAAACCUGUAAGGUGUGAAAAAAUUGAAUGAAGCACAAGAAGUUCGUGUGAUAAAACCGUAAUUUUAAUAAGUGAAAUUCUGAAAUAUGACGAUAGUUUAUUGUUAUUUAUUUAUUAUUUUCAUAAAACUAAGUAGCGAGUUCGACAAAGUUCUAUAUCAAAUUAUCAACUUUUUACAUUACAUUAUGUAUAAAGGAAGUCUUAGAGGUUUGUAAAACGUUAAAUUACCAAGAAAAUGUAAAUGUAAAAAAUAACAUAAAAAUUUAAUGUAAAGUUUGAAAAUAAAUGCAAGUAUAUUGA